rnacentral:rRNA from 1 species
AAGGAUUCCCCUAGUAACUGCGAGUGAAGCGGGAAAAGCUCAAAUUUAAAAUCUGGUGGUUUUGCCAUCCGAGUUGUAAUCUGGAGAAGCGUUUUCUGUGCUGGACCGUGUACAAGUCUCUUGGAACAGAGCGUCAUAGAGGGUGAGAAUCCCGUCCAUGACACGGACACCCAGUGCUAUGUGAUACGUUUUCAAAGAGUCGAGUUGUUUGGGAAUGCAGCUCAAAAUGGGUGGUAAGCUCCAUCUAAAGCUAAAUAUUGGCGAGAGACCGAUAGCGAACAAGUACCGUGAGGGAAAGAUGAAAAGCACUUUGGAAAGAGAGUUAAACAGUACGUGAAAUUGUUGAAAGGGAAACGCUUGAAGUUAGUCGCGUCUUACUUGACUCAGCCUUGCUUCGGCUUGGUGUAUUUCAUGUGAGACGGGUCAACAUCGAUUUUGACCGGCAGACAAGGGGAGUAAGAAUGUGGCACUCUUCGGAGUGUGUUAUAGCUUAUUCUCAUAUGUGUCGGUUGGGAUCGAGGACCGCAGCGCGCCCUUGUGGCCGGAGGUUCGCCUCACGUUACGCGCUUAGGAUGUGGCAUAAUGGCUUUAAGCGACCCGUCUG